CCUAUGCUACAACCGCACAAGUACAGGCUCUAUCAUAAGUGUUUACAUAUGUAAAACGCCUGUCUUUGGCGAGUCUUAGACUUGAG
rfam:Bacillus ginsengihumi strain M2.11 NODE_1, whole genome shotgun sequence.